CUCGGGAAUCACUUGGCAGUCAUCAGGGUAAAGUGGUUCCUCGGGCUUUUUGGCCAUCCGAGUCUCAUCUUCGAUGGGGUUGGUUCGCAGUCCUGCAGGUACAUUGAAAUUUAAACUCCUCGAAAUUCUGUAGUAGCCAAGACACAAGUUCACAUGGCAUGUAUCAACCAUAAGGCAUCAAUGCAUGUUAAAUGAAUUUGGAUAAAAUAGAGUGAUGAUGCAGCAAUCUGCAAUCAGCAUCUACCACCAUGUUUAAAAGAUUCUGAGCAAAGAGCAGCACAAAUUACGAAAACAAGAUGAGCAAUUCACCGGAACAAAUCAAGGCAUCCGUCAUGGAACGAGAACUACUGACCGACUAAAACGAACCACCGAUCCCGAAGUUUGAGUCGACGUCAAGCAAAAUGGAUGGCCCUAGGUGUCAGGCAUAGGCCUCGACGCUGCUCCUUAACCGCGGCCUCGACGCUCUUGGUCGCCGCUUCGCCGUCGCGUGCCGCAGCCUCCACUCCGGUGGCCGUGGCCGCGAGCCGCCCCUUGCCGCGGUGUGUCAUGGAGCCGUCCUUUACCUCCAGCUCCACAGUCCUCGCGACCUAGGGCCCGCCCAUGCGCUCCGCCGUCGCUGAGAGCCUCACCAGCGCGCCGCCACCGUCGGAUCGAUUCAGUCGGUGUGGAGGGACCACGAUGCCCACGCCACCAUAACGGGCAUACGGUGCUGCCACGGCUAGCAGCGCCGCCGCCUGCAUCUCCAAAGGCGCGGCGAAGCUCCUCCGCAGCCGCCGCCACGGGCCGGUGAGGGUUUAGAUUCCUUUGCCUGCCCAGUACUUCCUCGCCCUUCGUCUCCUCCGUCUAUUGCAUAUCCAAUGGCUUAGAUUCCUUUGGGUGAGUAUUUAAAAACUAUGAGGUUCUGGUCAUUUUCAACCUGAACUUUGCCCAAAUUUGACAGUGUUUCUCUAGAAAACAAUCGAGAGUGUCUAUUUCUCACUCGUCUAAGAAAUAGUUAUUUCUCAGUCGACAAUCAUAGCCAUCCAAUGAAAAUUUUCUUAUUCGUUGGACUUACAUUAAUCUUACACAAAUCUCAAUGAUUGAAUCAAAAGGUUGUUAUCGUGUCGCUUGAGAAAUAGCAAAACCGAAAACAAUCAGUGUAAAUUUAUGUGAUGACGAAUAUUUUGGCCUGAAUCUGGUUCACCGGUUGGACGAGGCACCGCUCCAUAAAAUACGGAAACUAAUAUAGACAAUAUAAGAGUUUGCACUCUUUUCAUUUUGAUUCAGUAAACACAUCUGAAGUCACAAAAGGUUACAUAAAUAAGUACUGUUUUAUUACACCGUAUAAGGACUAGUAAUUCCACUAAAAGUUAGCACAUACAAAGCCCAUGCCAUAUGAGUUUUUUUUUUAGAUCAAGGGCUUUUCGCCCCUGUUCCAUUCAUCGAUGAUGAACAAAACAUCAUAGUGUCGUGCCAUAUGAGUUUUGCAUGAACAACUAGAAUGAGAUGGAAUAUACUGUAGAUGGUUUUAGUCUCAUCCGGUACCGAUAGUUACUAGGAGUACUCCGUAUAAUCUUUCUUUUCCUUGUUCCAAGCCAAGCCAGUACCUUUUGCAGCUUUAGCACUGAAAACAUGAUUGGCCCGACGCACGCCGACGGGGCCCAUCACGGCAGCGGCAGCGGCAGCAUAUUCGCCACGGGAACAACAUGUACCU
rnacentral:lncRNA from 1 species